rnacentral:rRNA from 1 species
CUACGUGCCAGCAGCCGCGGUAAUACGGAAGGUCCAGGCGUUAUCCGGAUUUAUUGGGUUUAAAGGGAGCGUAGGCGGACGAUUAAGUCAGCUGUGAAAGUUUGCGGCUCAACCGUAAAAUUGCAGUUGAAACUGGUUGUCUUGAGUGCACGCAGGGAUGUUGGAAUUCAUGGUGUAGCGGUGAAAUGCUUAGAUAUCAUGAAGAACUCCGAUCGCGAAGGCAUAUGUCCGGAGUGCAACUGACGCUGAGGCUCGAAAGUGCGGGUAUCGAACAGGAUUAGAUACCCUGGUAGUCCGCACAGUAAACGAUGGAUGCCCGCUGUUAGCGCCUGGCGUUAGCGGCUAAGCGAAAGCAUUAAGCAUCCCACCUGGGGAGUACGCCGGCAACGGUGAAACUCAAAGGAAUUGACGGGGGCCCGCACAAGCGGAGGAACAUGUGGUUUAAUUCGAUGAUACGCGAGGAACCUUACCCGGGCUUGAAUUGCAGACGAACGAUUCAGAGAUGAUGAGG